AUUGAACGCUGGCGGCAGGCCUAACACAUGCAAGUCGAACGAGUGGCGGACGGGUGAGUAAUGUCUGGGGAACUGCCUGAUGGAGGGGGAUAACUACUGGAAACGGUAGCUAAUACCGCAUACUCUCAGAUGAACCCAUGUGGGAUUAGCUAGUUGGUGGGGUAAAGGCCUACCUAGGCGACGAUCCGUAGCUGGUCUGAGAGGAUGAGCAGACAAACUGGAACUGAGACACGGUCCAGACUCCUACGGGAGGCAGCAGUGGGGAAUAUUGGACAAUGGGCGAAAGCCUGAUCCAGCCAUGCCGCGUGUGUGAAGAAGGUCUUAGGGUUGUAAAGCACUUUAAGUGGGGAGGCGUUACCCACAGAAGAAGCACCGGCUAACUCCGUGCCAGCAGCCGCGGUAAUAC
rnacentral:rRNA from 1 species